UCAUUUAUUAUGGUGAUUGUGAUAACAUAAGGGAAAAAAAUGAUGUUACCUUAUUAAUAGUGUUGUCCAAAACUGGUGCCAGAAGACUCGGUAAGGCCAGAGACGCAAACGUUAGUCAUCUUAAUCAGGCGUAAAGGGUGUGUAGGCUGCUUUGAAAGUUUAAAUCUUUAUAAUAGCUCUGUUACCGUACUACUAUAUUAUUUAAUUGAAUUAUUAAAAUUAAAAUUAAAAUUAUUUAAAAUAAAAAAUAAAUAAUAAUAAAUAAUAAAGAAUAAAUAUAAAUAUAAAUAUAAAUAUAAAUAUAAAUAUAAAUAUAAAUAUAACUAUAACUAUAAAUAUAAAUUAAAAAAUGUAGUAUAUAAAAUUUAUUAAACUAAACACUAAAUGAUAUUAAAAAUAAAAUAAAAAAUAAAAUAAUAUCCGUGUAUCAGUUAAAAAAUAAAUGAAUUAUAGCUACAAUCAAAGGGAGGAUAAGCCAAAUAAUACUUAUUGUAGGGCUAAUAUCCGCAUAUAUUAAGGGGAAUACAAAAGGCGAAAGCUUUUUAUCUAUAAUUGAUUGACGCUGAGAAACGAAGGUGAGAAUAGGAAAUAGGAUUAGAUACCCAGAUACCUCUCACUGUCAACGAUGAAUGGUGGUUAGUUAGUUUUAAAAAAAACUAGUAGCGAUGUUAACACGAUAACCAUUCCGCCUUGCGAGUACGGUUGCAAAACUGAAACCAAAAAAA
rnacentral:rRNA from 1 species